ensembl:snoRNA
UUGCACUGUUCGUAAUCUGUUAGCAGCAUCAUUCUGUUAAUGGGUUCCAUUCCAGUGCUACAUGAUAACCCCAGGGUAAUAAAGGCUGGCUGUUUGUCUGCCUGUUCUCUUUAUUUUGGGGGGACAUAA